AGCCGCGGUAAUACGGAGGAUCCGAGCGUUAUCCGGAUUUAUUGGGUUUAAAGGGUGCGUAGGCGGCCUUUUAAGUCAGCGGUGAAAGUCUGUGGCUCAACCAUAGAAUUGCCGUUGAAACUGGGAGGCUUGAGUAUGUUUGAGGCAGGCGGAAUGCGUGGUGUAGCGGUGAAAUGCUUAGAUAUCACGCAGAACCCCGAUUGCGAAGGCAGCCUGCCAAGCCAUUACUGACGCUGAUGCACGAAAGCGUGGGGAUCAAACAGGAUUAGAUACCCUGGUAGUCCACGCAGUAAACGAUGAUCACUAGCUGUUUGCGAUACACUGUAAGCGGCACAGCGAAAGCGUUAAGUGAUCCACCUGGGGAGUACGCCGGCAACGGUGAAACUCAAAGGAAUUGACGGGGGCCCGCACAAGCGGAGGAACAUGUGGUUUAAUUCGAUGAUACGCGAGGAACCUUACCCGGGCUUAAAUUGCAGAUGAAUUACGGUGAAAGCCGUAAGCCGCAAGGCAUCUGUGAAGGUGCUGCAUGGUUGUCGUCAGCUCGUGCCGUGAGGUGUCGGCUUAAGUGCCAUAACGAGCGCAACCCUUGCCACUAGUUACUAACAGGUAAAGCUGAGGACUCUGGUGGGACUGCCAGCGUAAGCUGCGAGGAAGGCGGGGAUGACGUCAAAUCAGCACGGCCCUUACAUCCGGGGCGACACACGUGUUACAAUGGCGUGGACAAAGGGAGGCCACCUGGCGACAGGGAGCGAAUCCCCAAACCACGUCUCAGUUCGGAUCGGAGUCUGCAACCCGACUCCGUGAAGCUGGAUUCGCUAGUAAUCGCGCAUCAGCCAUGGCGCGGUGAAUACGUUCCCGGGCCUUGUACACACCGCCCGUCAAGCCAUGGGAGCCGGGGGUACCUGAAGUGCGUAACCGCGAGGAGCGCCCUAGGGUAAAACUGGUGACUGGGGCUAAGUCGUAACAAGGUAGCCGUACCGGAAGGUGCGGCUG
rnacentral:rRNA from 1 species